UACGUAGGGUGCAAGCGUUGUCCGGAAUUAUUGGGCGUAAAGAGCUCGUAGGCGGUCUGUCACGUCGGCUGUGAAAACCCGAGGCUCAACCUCGGGCCUGCAGUCGAUACGGGCAAACUAGAGUACUGCAGGGGAGACUGGAAUUCCUGGUGUAGCGGUGAAAUGCGCAGAUAUCAGGAGGAACACCGGUGGGCGAAGGCGGGGUCUCUGGGGCAGUAACUGACGUGGAGGAGCGAAAGCGUGGGGGAGCGAACAGG
rnacentral:rRNA from 1 species